UACAGAGGUCCCAAGCGUUGUUCGGAUUCAUUGGGCGUAAAGGGUGCGUAGGUGGCGCCGUAAGUGGGGUGUGAAAUUUCGGAGCUUAACUCCGAAACUGCAUUCCAUACUGCGGUGCUUGAGGACUGGAGAGGAGACUGGAAUUUACGGUGUAGCAGUGAAAUGCGUAGAGAUCGUAAGGAAGACCAGUGGCGAAGGCGGGUCGUCUGGACAGUUCCUGACGCUGAGGCACGAAGGCCAGGGGAGCAAACGGG
rnacentral:rRNA from 1 species